UACGUAGGGGGCAAGCGUUAUCCGGAUUUACUGGGUGUAAAGGGAGCGUAGACGGCAUGGCAAGUCAGAUGUGAAAGCCCGGGGCUCAACCCCGGGACUGCAUUUGAAACUGUCAGGCUGGAGUGCAGGAGAGGUAAGUGGAAUUCCUAGUGUAGCGGUGAAAUGCGUAGAUAUUAGGAGGAACACCGGUGGCGAAGGCGGCUUACUGGACUGUAACUGACGUUGAGGCUCGAAAGCGUGGGGAGCAAACAGG
rnacentral:rRNA from 1 species